rnacentral:lncRNA from 1 species
UACUAAGUUUCAAGUUGAUGUAACUUUAACUUCAUCAAAACUACCUUGACCAAAAACUUUAACCUGAACUUCACAUUAUUAUUUUCUAUGUUCAGUGGACCAUGAAAUUGGGGUCAAAACUUUAAUUUGGCAUUAAAAUUAGAAAGAUCAUAUCAUGGGGAACAUGUGUACUAAGUUUCAAGUUGAUUGGACUUCAACUUCUUCAAAAACUGCCUUGACCAAAAACUUUAACCUGAAGCGAACAGACGCACAGACGGACGAACG